GAUGAACGCUAGCGGCAGGCUUAAUACAUGCAAGUCGAGGGACAGCACAGGUAGCAAUACUGGGUGGUAACCGGCAAACGGGUGCGGAACACGUACACAACCUUCCUUUAAGUGGGGGAUAGCCCAGAGAAAUUUGGAUUAAUACCCCGUAAUAUAGUUGAAUGGCAUCAUUUGAUUAUUAUAGCUACGGCGCUUAAUGAUGGGUGUGCGGCUGAUUAGAUAGUUGGCGGGGUAACGGCCCACCAAGUCUACGAUCAGUAGCUGAUGUGAGAGCAAGAUCAGCCACACGGGCACUGAGACACGGGCCCGACUCCUACGGGAGGCAGCAGUAAGGAAUAUUGGUCAAUGGACGCAAGUCUGAACCAGCCAUGCCGCGUGAAGGAUUAAGGUCCUCUGGAUUGUAAACUUCUUUUAUUUGGGACGAAAAAGGGCCUUUCUAGGUCAACUGACGGUACCAGAUGAAUAAGCACCGGCUAACUCCGUGCCAGCCGCCGCAGUAAGAC
rnacentral:rRNA from 1 species